rnacentral:rRNA from 1 species
CCUACGGGUGGCAGCAGUGGGGGAUAUUGCACAAUGGGGGAAACCCUGAUGCAGCGACGCCGCGUGUGGGAAGACGGUCCUCUGGAUUGUAAACCACUGUCCCCAGGGACGAAGAUGCCGGUACCUGGGGCGGCAGCUCCGGCUAACUACGUGCCAGCAGCCGCGGUAAUACGUAGGGAGCGAGCGUUGUCCGGAAUUACUGGGGGAAAGGGGAGCGUAGGCGGGACUGCAAGUUGGGUGUCAAAUCUACCGGCGCAACCGGUAGCCGCACUCAAAACUGCAGUUCUUGAGUGAAGUAGAGGCAGGCGGAAUUCCUAGUGUAGCGGUGAAAUGCGUAGAUAUUAGGAGGAACACCAGUGGCGAAGGCGGCCUGCUGGGCUGUGACUGACGCUGAGGCGCGAAAGUGUGGGGAGCAAACAGGAUUAGAUACCCGUGUAGUC